rnacentral:rRNA from 1 species
GAUGAACGCUGGCGGCGUGCCUAAUACAUGCAAGUCGAGCGAACAGACGAGGAGCUUGCUCCUCUGACGUUAGCGGCGGACGGGUGAGUAACAUGUGGAUAACCUACCUAUAAGACUGGGAUAACUUCGGGAAACCGGAGCUAAUACCGGAUAAUAUAUUGAACCGCAUGGUUCAAUAGUUAAAGACGGUUUUGCUGUCCCUUAUAGCUGGCUCCGCGCCGCAUUAGCUAGUUGGUAAGGUAACGGCUUACCAAGGCAACGAUGCGUAGCCGACCUGAGAGGGUGAUCGGCCACACUGGAACUGAGACACGGUCCAGACUCCUACGGGAGGCAGCAGUAGGGAAUCUUCCGCAAUGGGCGAAAGCCUGACGGAGCAACGCCGCGUGAGUGAUGAAGGUCUUCGGAUCGUAAAACUCUGUUAUUAGGGAAGAACAAAUGUGUAAGUAACUAUGCACGUCUUGACGGUACCUAAUCAGAAAGCCACGGCUAACUACGUG